GCCAUACCCAGGACACGGAGCUCGUGGAGACCAGGCCUGCAGGGGAUGGAACCUUCCAGAAGUGGGCAGCUGUGGUGGUGCCUUCUGGAGAGGAGCAGAGAUACACGUGCCAUGUGCAGCAUGAGGGGCUACCCGAGCCCGUCACCCUGAGAUGGAAGCCGGCUUCCCAGCCCACCAUCCCCAUCGUGGGCAUCAUUGCUGGCCUGGUUCUCCUUGGAUCUGUGGUCUCUGGAGCUGUGGUUGCUGCUGUGAUAUGGAGGAAGAAGAGCUCAGGUGGGGAAGGGAGAAGGCUACUCUAAGGCUGAGUGGAGCGACAGUGCCCAGGGGUCUGAGUCUCACAGCUUGUAAAGCCUGAGACAGCUGCCUUGUGUGCGACUGAGAUGCACAGCUGCCUUGUGUGCGACUGAGAUGCAGGAUUUCCUCACGCCUCCCCUAUGUGUCUUAGGGGACUCUGGCUUCUCUUUUUGCAAGGGCCUCUGAAUCUGUCUGUGUCCCUGUUAGCACAAUGUGAGGAGGUAGAGAAACAGUCCACCUCUGUGUCUACCAUGACCCCCUUCCUCACACUGACCUGUGUUCCUUCCCUGUUCUCUUUUCUAUUAAAAAUAAGAACCUGGGCAGAGUGCGGCAGCUCAUGCCUGUAAUCCCAGCACUUAGGGAGGCCGAGGAGGGCAGAUCACGAGGUCAGGAGAUCGAAACCAUCCUGGCUAACACGGUGAAACCCCGUCUCUACUAAAAAAUACAAAAAAUUAGCUGGGCGCAGAGGCACGGGCCUGUAGUCCCAGCUACUCAGGAGGCGGAGGCAGGAGAAUGGCGUCAACCCGGGAGGCGGAGGUUGCAGUGAGCCAGGAUUGUGCGACUGCACUCCAGCCUGGGUGACAGGGUGAAACGCC
rnacentral:lncRNA from 1 species